rnacentral:lncRNA from 1 species
UCUUCACUAACCGCAGAGCUGAGGCCAGUGCAGGCUCCUCUGCCUCCUACCGCCCAGGGCAAGCUUAGGAGGUGUCCUAAACCUGCCUAAAUUGCCAGGGCAACUGUGAGGCAAUGCACAGAAGCUCACUCGGCCACAGGGUGAUACAGUGGACCCACGCAGAGCCAAGGAAGCUGCACAGGGACAAGGGCUGAUGAUAUUGAAAGUUCAUAUGGAUCAGUGUGUUUCCCACCAGAACCAGAUGUGAAUACCCUUUCACUGAAAACUCCAUGUUCUUUGGCUUCAGGAAAGAGCAAAAUCAAGCAUAGUGCUGCAACUGAUCUGGACGCUUCCUUCCUGAUGGCUGGCUUUCCUGAUGCUGGAAUGUGCCUUGCAGGUUCUGGGAGAGAAAAAUCAUUACAGGCUUAAGUUCCUGUGCUACAUGACUGACCUGCUGAGCAAUAUGCUACUGGAGUGAUAGUUUUAUGACCGUUAAGGGAAUAGUCAGCUGCUUUUGACUGAAUUUGAGGUCAGCUACACUUGGAAUUCACAUUCGGUUCUAGAAAGCUGUUCAGUAACCCUUGGCUGGGCAGCCACUAGGCCCUGCUGUGGAAGGUUCUACUGUUUUGCUAAAUGAGCACGUUGCACCCAGCAAAUUGCCUUCUAAAUAGUUAUGUCUAUGUCUACGUCUACAUAUUAGUGCUGCUCUCAGCUUCGGUCACACAAACUUCUUUUUCAGUUAGUGGCAGCUAUUGCAGCAGAGACUCAGGGUCAACAUGCUAAGAGUUGGUGACUGUUGAAGACUCAGCACUAAAUAUACAUCAAUAUCAUUCCAAGGCUCAGGGACCAUUGUGGAAGAUGGAGUGGAAAAAAAAAUCUAAGAGACAGUAGAGGUAGUGGGAACUGAUGGGACUCUGUCUUCAGGCAACAUCAUGUUCUACACACAUGAACUCAGAGCAGCACCUGAACAAGUCUGGGUACCUCAGCAUUGCAUUAUAGUGUUUAUACCUGUGGCAUGAUCAAAGAGGCCUAGUAAUGAAGAAAUUCUUGGCUGGCCAAGGUGCUGAGAGCAAGUGACUGAUCAGUGCUCAUAGAAUGUUGUAGAAGAAGGGGAUUGUGAGCACCAGACAAUGGUGGGGUGAGGAGGGCUGCGAUAAGCUAUCUUCAGGGAAAUGGCAUGACUAUGGUUCGCAUGAAUUCAGAGCAGCUACAGAUACCUGAGCCUCUACAAGACGGAGCCUAUAAACCUUCAUUCUCUUAACUGUGUGUUUCCCACCAGAGCUGGAUGUGAAGCCCCUGUUGGCUGAGAAUUCCACUGCUGUGGUUUUAGGGCAUAGAGAAAUCAAGGGGAAGCCAAGCUGGAAGCUUUCUCCCUCCUGGCUGAUCUGAUAGUGCCAGAGUAUGCUGUGAAUGAAGAUCCUGAGGGCAAAAAGUCACCGCCAAGCGUACUCAGUUCCAGGCCCUCUGCCACGAUAACUACCUGCUAGGCAUUAUACUUACCGUUGGAGUGAAGGGGUGAUUUCACUGUGAAAGGCUUCCUCCACAGACUGAGCAUCAUCAAUGACUGGGCAAAAUUCCACUGGGCUCUUCUAGACUUUUUCCAAGGACUAUUUCUGGAAACAAACUUCAACAUUCCCACUCUGAAAUAAACGUGCAGUGGCUACCAACGUUCAUGCUCAACUGAGUCUGACCUAUUUCCAUCCUGACCCCAUGUUUGCCACAAGACUUAUGGGCACAACAGAAAACAGACCUAUCUGCAUCCACAAAACAGACAGACAAAACUUUCUAAACAACCAGUACCAGAAAGUCACAUGAAGAGUUCACACCGAGUCUCAGAGGAGCCAAUGAACAAAAUCUGGGACUAUAAAGACCAUGAAGUCCUUUGAAGAGUGACUAAGCGCAUUGUACACCGAGAUGCACAGGAGCCUGUAGAAACUAAGACAUUUGGAGCAGCAGGAUGCCAUUGAGAAGAGGUUGGGAAUGUUAAAGCGGUGGGAAUGCUACGUCAAAAAGAGAACGUAGCAGAAGAAAUGAAGUCUGAAGCACAAGAAACAACUAAAACCAAAGAAAACCAACACUACAUUUAAACAAAAACUCAAUGCCAAGUGAAGAAAAAAAUGAAAAAGGAUAGAUAUGAAAGAAAUGGUACACUCUAAAAUAACCAGGAAAAAAUAUACAACAGGUAAAACCAGAAAAUGAAAACUAAAGUUCAGCUCAACCAAACAAAAAUGUUCAAAAAUCAAACCUAACUAAAUGCCAAAUUGUAGUAAAUUCCACAGAAUCCAGAGUAUUACUAGAGGCAAAGAAAUAUAUUACAAGGAAAAAAAGAGACUGAAAGAAAGUAAAAGAAAUACCAAAAUAUAACCUUUAAAAAUUUGAACAAAAGUCUCAAACAAAAAUGAAAAUUAGAAUGAAGAUAAUCUACAAAGACCAAAAUGUGAAAAGGAACCAGGAACCUAGUGAAUGAAAGACGAAUGAAGUAAACCAUAAAGUGGGGGAGAUUGCUCAGUCCACAAAGUUCCUCCAUCGCAAGUGUGAGGCCGGGAAGUACAGUGAAAGAACACCAAUCUCAGUGCAAGGUGAGCCAACAGGUGUGUAUUCCUGGGACUCAUCGGAUGGCUAGCCUAAUCUACUUAGAAACUAUAGGCCAGUAAGAGACUCUGCUUAAGCAAAGUGGCCAGCAGACCUGAAAUAAGUCAGGUGGCAUUGCACUCUUUGGCACCACCAGCAAGCUUCCAUUGAGUUCAAAUUGGAAGUUGCUUGAAGUUCAAAUGGUGACGGCUAUGAGUGAGCUAUGAGAAGCCAUGUGAACCAAGCUCAUCCCAACAGCUGCCAAAGUGUCUGAAAGUAGAUCCUGGGUCCACCCUUCCCCAUCCCAGCCUUGGAUCUGCUGCUGCUAUGUGAAACGUUUCUGAAAACAGUGACCUAUUUUGUUUGUAAUGCAGUGGCCUCUAGUAUUCUCCUCUCUACUCCUUCAGCCCUUCCACUUCUACAGAUGGCCCUUUACGUGGAGCCUCAGAUACGUACAGCCUGUCUAAAGAAGCCGGGUUCCAGAAGCCUGCCUUGUGGGAGUUCCCUGCCUCUUGGACUGACACUCCCCUGGACUCCGCCCCCUCACAGCAUGAAGCAGCUAGAGCGGUCAUCGUCCCCUUUCCUGACAAUAAUUGGUGUCAAUCUCUGAAGUGGGGAAGGAAGGCAGGUUAGAUGGACAUAGGUAGACUAGGAAAGUGAGAGCAGACUUCCUGACACAAGGCUUCUUAUUCUCAGAAGACACUGUGAGACAGGGUAUGAAAGCUGAAACUAUAGAGGAAGGGAGGACAAAGGGGCCCUAUAAAAUACCUACGCCAGAAGCCUUUUAGAGAAAUUCUAGCCUUUGCUAUCACCUAUCCUCUAGGAAUAAAGCUGUUACUUUUACUG